AUGCUCUUAUUUCUCUUUCUUCACUUGUUUUUUGAUAGUUUGUUUUUUUUUAGAUAUCACAAGCUGUGCUGCCCUGCCUGGGAAGCUGGACACACUUGGAUUGAGAUCUUUAAUGGACUGUUGGUUCAAGUGGCGGUUGCUGAUGGACGAAGAGAAAUAAAGGAGGGGGGGGGCUGGAAAAAAGAAAAGAGGAGAAGGACAGGUCAGAGGAAGGGAGAUGUAUUGCUGAGUAGCCAUGACCUUCAGCCGUGAUUAGGGACAAUUAUGUCUUCAACAGCAGCUUGAACCAUAAAGCUACUCACACAGAAAGAUAGAGGGGGAACAGACAUGAGGAUUUACCAAGGUGUGGUCAUCAGCAGAUGUCCAUAAAAUGACUGUAAAUGCAUUAUUUGAUGCCUUUUUUCACCCCCACAUCUGUAUUUAACACAGCAGCAACGAGAUGGAGGGCUUGUUGUGUGGGGAUGGUGGUGGUGGUGGUGGGGGGGGAGAGAGAAAUGAUUAAUAUUAAUUCAAGGGCUGAUUGAAGGCAACACUCGAGUGAAGUGGCUCAUGAUGAUGUCUCCUGAGCAACUCCCACGCACUGCUCCCGCCAUGAGUGGAAAGAGGAGAGAGGAGAAGAGAGGAAAGGAGACAGGAAAGGCAGGAAAGAGACGAUGCCAGAUGUGACAGCGAGAGGAAGAUGUGAGAUGAGCCACCAUCCAACAUCUCCCCACCCACUCUUCCAUCACCAUGUUAUGGAUUUAAAAAAAAAUUCCACAAGCAAAACAGUGUUCACCACACAAAGAACUUUUGGAUGGGUUAGUUCAAGUUUUUUUUAAUUAGCAUGUGCUAGUAAAUUAAGAAGUUGCUUUCAUUGCCUUGGCAUUUAGGGAUUGGCAUUAGCAUUAGCAGACAAAACCAAAGACAUUAAGUUAUUAUUUUGUUUUGUUUUUUAAAUAAUAUAUUCUCUGUGGUAGAAGUAGUCGUUGUAUGUUUAAUUAGCACAUUCAGAAGUAUGAAAGCUUUUUCAGAGGUCCAAACAAGUAGUGUGUGGUACAGUAACACACAGUUUCUAAACUUUGGAAGCUCACAAUAGUAAUCUUUCAAAAUAAAUUACCAGAACUCUGUGUAUGUGUAUCUGACUGGCCAGUGCAGUGAGUUGGCAGCAAUGUUGUGUUGUGCUGCGCCAGAACUUUUUCUUUUUCUUGAUCGCUCUGUCAGAUCUUUUUGGAUCUGGAUCCUAUAAAAACAGAAAAAUGUUUGCUAAGACCUUUCUUUUUUCUGCUGUCUUUAUUUCUUGCUUUCUGUUGGAAGGCUGUUUUUGGCCUCAGUGCCUCAUCGAUCUAAGGCUAGUGAAGGUGGUGAAAUGUGAAGUUUAGCUUAGUGUUUAGGCUGUAUACGCCCUUGGCCUCAGAUUCUAUUCCCCUUGUGUCUUCCUCAAUUUCCUGCUUUCAUCCGCGGUCAAAAAAGGCUUAAAAUGCUAAAGGUAAAUAAAAUUGUUUUCCUUUAUUU
rnacentral:lncRNA from 1 species